UAAAAUCCCACCCUAACUGGGACAAGUUACAGAACCAAGCCAAAGGGAGUAUCUGAUGACCCACUUCAUUUUCCUACAAGGUGAAAGCUGUCAUCGUUAGCUCGUUGCUCGGCCAGUGUCAUGGAGCUGAACCGGCGGCUGCUGCUAGCUCACUGCGCGGCUCACGGCCUCUCUAUAGCGGCUGGGCUGCUGGUGGUCGUUCCGAUGGCCCUGAACGGUUCCGCUUUUAAAGGCCGCUGCGCCCUCUUCUCCACGGGCUAUUGGAGGAACGAAAACCGGGCCGAGUUGACGGGGGAGCCUGGAGAGUUAUCCCACCUAGUGGUGCGGCAGUGGGGCCCACCAGAAGCCUGCCAAUUCGCCACAUUUGUGGGUAUUUUCACGGUGCUUUACGGGGCUGCGCAGGGCUGGAGGUGCCUCUUCUAUCUGCACGGACGACACGACGACACCCUGUUUUCAUCCUUCCUCACGGUCCUGCUGAGUGUGUGUGUCCUCUUCCUGUCCGGAGGGGCGAGUGUUAUUCUGUCUCUGGGAUUCAGCUCCUGGUGUGACACAGUGACUGAUGACAACACGCGACCCUACAGCUGUGCAGAGUCUCAGUCAGUCCCACUUUAUCUGGACGUGAACACCUCUACUUUCUUCACAGAUCUCAGUCUGGCUCAGGCGUCUCUGUGGUGUGUGACAGCUCUGUGGCUCGCUCAGUCCAUCCUGGCCUUCCUGAGACUCUACCACUCCCACAACCAGCACAUGACCGCACCUUGUCUGCACCGAGACAAGGAGCUGCUGCUCAGCUACAGCCUGUCUGACUGUGGCUCGGCCUCUCCUCCUCAUCCUCCAGAAACUCCAACCAUCUUUGUCUGACCCACAGAGUGUGAGGUAGAGGGAAAACGCCUUGCACUUAACUUCAUUGUUGACAUUUGAACCUCAUUUUGUUCACCCAGACCACUCAACAUGUCUGCUCUGUUAGUCUUAUUUAUAUAUAUAUAUCACCUCUUUCAGCAGAAUGUGGUCAUUAAUAGAUUAUUCAUCAACUCAUAAGCAUCACAAACUGCAGGAGAAGAAAUGCCAACGAAGUGUUGGCUGUAGUGAGGUGGUCUAUGACUGGUGCGAUCUGAAAAACCCACUAGUUAUAAGUUUGCCCUCAAAUAUCAGGCAAGUUUUAGUCGUAAUGCUGUUUUAAGCAAUUUAAUAUCAGAUCUAUUCCCUUUAAAAAAACAAGUGACCUAUAAACCAAAGUAUUUUAUUUAAUCUUGUAGAAAAGGGACAUUUGAAAUUCAGAUCACUUCCUGCCAUUGUUACGUGAAUUUAGCAUUUUAAUAUACAAUUUAAAUCAUGUUACACAACAAGCUGUACCAUAUUUAUUUAAUUUUUUUUUAAUCUAUAAGGGAAUUUGAUUGAAAUUUGCAGCGAGAUUGUUUUUAAGUAGGAUUUAACCAAGAUGGCAGAAACAGUGUGCUAGUGAGCGAUAACUUGAACAAGACUUUUUAAAUGUGAACAAAAUAUUCUAGAGCAGCCUCAGGUUGAGUUAUGGUGAUUUCGUAGAUGUGUGAAAAUGUUUUUGUUUAGUGGUUGAGUCAUAAGAUUUCUCUGACCAAUACCACCAAAAAUACAAUAAACAAAUAAACAUAUGAAAAAGCAGGCACUUUCAAUGAAAGAGCCAUUUACUAGAGUUUAUUAGAUGUUUUGGGAGGUGAAGUUCUUUGAAGUGUCUCCACAAGAAAAUCAAAAUGGUCUCCUUUGUGUUGUAUCUGCUUUUCUGUUAGUAAACAGGGAAAACUCUUCAGAUUGCAGGCUUGUUGAUUUGAGAUUAUUACUGGAUGGCCUGAGUCAAAUUAGGGCCUCAGUCAUCACUAACAGAUAAAAGAAUGACACGUCAAACCUUCCUGCACUUUAAGUGUCCAACACAUUAAGAUGAAAGAAUUAGAACUUCAAAGGCAAAUUCCACCCAAAAUUGAAAAUUUCUCUGUUGACAUAUUUCCCAGCAUUAGAUAAAUGGGGGAAAACAAUUUUGAACCAGCCGAGUCCUACUCCUGACCCGGUUGUUCUCCUUUAGCUUUAGCUUAGCAUAAAACACAGCAAGUGAAUGGAUCCAACUAGCAUUGUGAUUUAAAAAAAAAGUCCUUAAAAUCACUCAGUAGUGAUCCAAAUUCUGCUUGGUGACCUAAAUAAUCAGACUGACUGCAAGUGAAAAUAAUUAGUAGCAUACAGGAAUCACAGGUGCCAUUUUAGACUUGGGCCUACUUUAUGACAAAUCACAGCUGUAAGCUUCCACUGAAAGGUGCAAGCAGCCCCAAAGAAACCUGCUUCCUUACACACGUUAUCAAACCAGCAUAAUACAAACACACACACACGCAAUAUGUCAACGAGAGGAAAAUUAUGAUUUUGUGAUUUGAUUUGUUUUUUUGUUUAUGUUUCUGACAGCGCUGUAAGCAAUGUGAGUAUUUAAUACAUUGUGUUUAUAUGUUUAAGAUGCAUGCUCAUUUAUAUUUGUCCUUGAAUGCAUUUUGCACUUUUGUGUCCUCUUCAGGGAAAAACACACACCCAUUUAUGUUUUGAGUGUAUUGUUGAGAUGAAGCACUGAGAUGCUUAGAUUGUGAAAGCAUGUGGUUGGCGUGCGACUGAGCCACCGUGUUCAUGAAAGUGGCUCACUGUGUGAGCAGGACCGGAAUGUUCUUUUGUGUGCAGGGAAAACACACCACUGGCCUUCUCUGCUCUCGUGACGGUUUUCAUUAUGAUGCCGUUUGUGUGGAUGGAGCUGCUCUGUGGGGCUGGAUGAAGCUCUCAGAUCCUCCGUAACGGGUAAAUUCCCGAUGAGAGAUUUGUGUGGAACUCGGUGAGGUCAAAGAAACCAAAGGGAGUUUGCAACAAUGAUGAGUUUAUUUAAAUGACUAAGUUGUUAACUCUUUUUACCAGAACAGCCGUGAUGAAACGCAAACAGCAGAGCUGGAAAUCUGAAGUACAGAGAACAUGUGGUUGUUACUUGAAUUAUAUGAAAUGCUUUUAUUUUUUAACUACAUGUGAUUCUGCUUGACUUUGACCUAUUUAUGCUAAUUUAUUCUCAUGUGUUUUUCCAUUUUUCUUUAUUUUAAUAAAGAAUUUCCACAAAAACAA